rnacentral:lncRNA from 1 species
CAGAGCAACCUACAACACGUAACGGCCAUAACAUUCUUGCUCACAACCUACGCCAAGUACAUGAAAGCCACUCAACACACGUUCAACUGCGGAAACUCCGUCGUUGUUAACCCCGACACCUUGAUAAGCUUAUCGAAGCAACAAGUGGAUUACAUACUCGGCGAGAACCCAAUAAAGAUGUCGUACAUGGUUGGAUUUGGAUCCAGUUUCCCCAUGAGAAUCCACCACAGAGCAUCGUCGCUUCCUUCACAAGUACUUCUUUCAAAACCUUUCAACUGCACCGAGGGAUUCCAAUUUUACCACACGCAAAACCCCAACCCUAACAUUCUCACGGGAGCAAUCGUAGGGGGUCCAGAUAAGAACGAUGAGUAUCCAGAUAAGAGAGACGAUUACAUACACUCGGAACCGGCUACUUACAUCAACGCCCCCUUCGUUGGACCUUUGGCCUACUUCGCCUCCCGUGGAUCUGCUUGAAAUGGAAUCCACCACCACUUUUGUCCCACGUGAAAGUUGCUUUUGAGUUGCGAAAAUGGUUACUUACAGCUGUUGGCUUAAACCGAACUUGACUAUUUAUAACGGAAUAAAUAAUUCAAAUGUAAAACUCUUAAUGGGCUAAGACCUAAUAUUAACGAACAUGUAAUAAGUAAGAUAUUACUGAAAUUUGAUUUUAAAGAAGUUUUACAGAAACAUGGAAGUCCUUCUAAUCCAAUCGUUUUAUUACCAGUUCACUAAUGAUUUUACAAUUUUGAAAUACGAUUGAUCAUUAAUUAUGUCUGAGUUAUGGAAACAAAAUCUAAAGCAAAUCUUCAGCAUAGUGGAAUAAGAAUAUAUACUGUUUCGGGGGAAGUUUCGGCCGUUCUAGGUGGCAUCCUUAUGGGUAAGGGUCUAAAGGAAACAUUGAUAGAAGGAAUGUUUUAGUAUGUCGAAAAAGUAGUUAAUGUUCAUCAUUCUUGCUAUUUACUACUUAUGAAAAUUUUAAUUUAGUUGUAAACAUAGAGAUUUGGUGAUCACUGAAAACCCGAUCGUAUAUGUUCCGAUCUGUUCCGAUCACUGAACAACAGCUCGCACAUCAAAGAGGAUUCGCUGAUGAAUAUUUUGCAAAAGUGGCUGUAUAAACUUUGGUUUAGCCGUCAAAAUAGCGUUAAAGAUCAAGGCAUAGUCUGAAGGUAAAUCGUGUGUGUCACGCCCUCUGAAAACUGGGGUUGUAACUUGUAUUAAGGGACUUUGUAGCAACGAUGCAAUCAAAUGAGAAAUUACAGUCAGAGAUGACAAAGCUACGUGAGAUGGUUGAAGACUAUGCUAAACAGUUCCCAGCAACUGGAUUCGGGAAAGAGAUGAUGAGAUACAAAGAGUAGUUUCAUCAGUGAGAAUCAACCACGUUUCCACAUUCUCAUGUGCCAUUAGUGCAAUAGAGUUAUAUCAUUAGCUUGCAUUUUCCUUUGUUGUGUCCAAUUUGCUGCCUGUUACUGCGUGUCUACAACUACAAAACACAUUGCAUCAACCCCCAAAAAUGUAAGAGAAAUGGAGAACACAUAAAAUGUUACCAUUACAACGUUGGCAUUAAAGGAAAGAAUUUCGAAGGCGGUUUGGGUGGGUUAGGGUCUUGCACUCUGACAUUUUAAUUCGCCUUGGGAACUCAUUUGUCUUGGGGUUUUGUGUUCUCGGAAGAAAGGAUCCGGUUUUGGAUUCGGUUCGUAUUACAGUACCCGUUUAUGAUACUGAUUGUUUAUGCUAAAAUCCCCAACUAUAUUUGGAUUGGAUAAAAAUCAUAAACUAGAGAUUUACAGAAGCCUUUUGUUUUACCGGCACUGUAAACAAAGGUUCUAAUCUUUUAAAUAAAAUUAAGUUAAAGAGGUUUUGCGUUAUAUCUCUAGUUUAUAAGCUUUUACUCAAACCAGAUUUAAUUGAAAGGUUCUAGCAUUAAAAAUCCUUUAAAAUAUCAUAAUCUAUCCACUUUAAUAUCAGGAAUCUACCCCACUUGUUUAGUUUUUGUGUUUAAAAAAAAAAAAAUCCUACCCACUUGUUUUUUUUUUGUCACUUCCCAGUUGUUUAACUUUUGUUGGAAAGUUAGACGGUGCAGCCGAGCGACCGUUCCCAUUUACCUGCAUUUACAUUUGGACGUGUGGACCUGUGACCCAAUAAAAAUUCAUGCAUAUUCACUACUCCAUUUUAUAGUUAUGAUCACACACCUAUAUAUUUAUAUCACAGUGAAUUGCAAAUGACAAGCCCCACACAGCCGCACUAUUCAACAUACAUCGUAACCUUACGGGAAGGGAUACUAUCAUUGACGUGUGGAGUGUUCUAAAAUACGGUCAACAUCGUAACCUUACGGGAAGGGAUACUAUCAUUGACAUGUGGAGUGUUCUAAAAUACGGUCUACGUGUUCGCCGUCUAGGCGUAGCCAACCGUACUAUUUUCAUGUUAUACCGUGUUUUAUGUGAAUUUAUUUAAUUCGGAUGAAUAACAGUGUUUAGAUAGACAUUAUGCGGUCUGCGCCUAGGCGGAUUUUAAGUAUUAAUAUUCAAAAAUAAACUAUUAAUAUUAUUAUUAUAUUUUAUUAAUGUUAUUAUUUUUAUUAUUUUUACUUAUUUUAUGUAUUUAUAUGAUUGUAGAUAUUAGUAUAAUUGUUGCAAAAUCAUUUUAACUUUAUCAUCUUUAUAUAUUUAAAAUGGCUUUAAUUUUUAUAAUUUAAAACUAUUUAUAUAUGUUAAACUAUAUACUUAUACAUAAAAUUGGAUUUAAAAUAUAUUUAUGUUCAGUUUUUUUUCAAAAAUAAUGUAUAUAUAUAUAUAUAUAUAUAUUAUUCUCAUACUUAUAUUUCUUAUAAAAAAGUAUAUAUCCGUAUAUACCCCGUUUAGGCGUCCGUCUACACGGCUAGACGGGUAAUGAAUGCGCGUUUUAGAACACUACGUGUGGGAGAAGGAAGACUCUGAAUAGGUUGUAGUACAAGUGAAACACAUCUAGUAAGUUAUGAUAUAAGAUAAGCAAGACUUUCCACAAGGCUACCGCAAGUUAAGAUCACACCUAUAUUUUAUAGUUAUUCAACAUACAUCGUAACCUUACGGGCAGGGAUAGAUAGUAUCAUUGACGUGUGGGAGAAGGAAGACUCUAAAUAGGUUAUAGUACAAGUGAAACACAUCUAGUAAGUUAUGAUAUAAGAUAAGAAAGACAUUCCACAAGGCUACCGCAAGUUAAGAUAUGCGGAGAAAGUUCCUUUUUCAAACUAAGAUAUGCAAAAACAUUAAAUAGGCAAGUUUGGGAAAUUCAGUACAAAAACGAACAAGACUUUGGAAAACAUAUUCCUCACAAAUGCUUCUUAGAGAGAUUGCAAGAGAUGCGCUUAACGAGCACUUGUAGCGACUCUGAGUUUUCUUUGACCAAACUUCAAUUCCCACGGACUAGAUCUUGAUUGUGCGAAGCGGAGAUAUCUCUGAUCAUAAGUCCUCAUAACACGCCAGGUCCAUAGGCUAUUCCAGAUGCUAUCUAGUUAAACAUUUGUUAUCUACCUCGGACAAUUCCUCGCGUUGUUGUGAUGUAGGAUUCGGGACAUGACUUACUCCACAUAUAUUUUCAAGUCCGUAGAGUGUAGUGUCGUCCAAGAAUGAUGAAAAUUUCUACCUUUUAAACUAUGUGCCUCAUGGGUCAAGUGAGGAUUAGCUAAGUUACUUAUGUUUUGGAACAUUGCUGAUGAACACUAUUUAUCAAGUGAGGAUUAGCUAACUUGCUUGGGAUCAUGGUUUCAUGUUUUCAUAUCAUUGUAGUUUAUGUUUAUAUGUAAUUUAUGUUUAACUGAGAAAAAAGGUUUUACUGUGUUAUUUAAGAUAAUAUAACUCCUUGAUUAUGUUAUACAUAAUUAUUGCAUUCUAAUAAAGUUAUUAAGAUUUUAUUUAUAAUCAUUAGUAUUAUUGUUAUUAUGAAUAUACAAGAUGAUAUCAACUACAUAUAAUUAAUUAAUACAAUUAAAUAUAUUUGAAAUGUAAUUUAACAUAUUUAAAAUAUUACUGAGAUAUUCUUUGAUAAAGACAAAUAUAUAGAAAUUGUUUUUUUCCUUAAUUAACUGACAUUAAAAAUGUAAGUUACAAAAGUUGAUAUUAUAAUGUGUGAUAAUUUAAUAGAUAUCUCACCGAUAAAGUUAACAAAUCUGAACUAGUUGUUAAAUUUAACUUUUACUAAACUACUAUUAUUUUAUCAGUUCCCCAUUAGAGUACUAUCAUAAUACCAAAAUCAAUAACAAUAUAUAGCUUUAUAUGAUCAUAUGUUUAUAUGAUUCACUCUCCAAGAAGAGUUCGUAGGAACUCAAGUCGGGAUGUGACUUAGCAAGUAUUUGCGUCAACUUGUCGGUUAGCUUCUCCAAGUCUUCGUCAACUAAUUGGACCACAUAAACCCUAAACUCAAUUCAAUAUUCACGCUUCCUUCUUCCCUUAGUCUCAUGCAAACCUUUUAUCUUUACUGGAGAAUGUAAAUUUCAUAUUAUUGACAUGACAUUUAAUGAUGCGUCUGCCAGCUUAAAUCAUGGUAAAUAAUUAUAUAUUAUACACAUAACGGCAAUAACCAUUGCAUUAAUUCACGUAAUCUCAUAAGGGCAAUGACAUCGAUCGGGCAGAUUAAGGAUGGACAUACCCAUCCAGAACUGAUCUUCGGAUCAGGGUCCCAGACCCAAUUGGACCCGGUUUAAAUAUUCAAAGGGUUCUAAAUUGUUAUAUCCAAAAAUUGAUACCGUAUUCAACCCACACCAAAAACCGAAUGAACUGCAAACAUAUAAAUUAGUACAUAAAAAUAUUAGUUAUAAUCAUACGUAUAAUGAUACUACCUGAAAUCAUAAAUAUAUUAGUUAUUUAAAAUAUUUAUAGAUAAAAUUGGAUAGUUUAGAAACAAAUACCGAUAAUCAAAUUGUAUUCAUGGUAACUAAACAUCAAACUAAAUACAAAUUAAAGAUGUGAUGAUAAAUUUCUCAAGAAGUAAUGUUUUACAACAUAUUUUUUUAUUUCAUAGAUGAAGUAAAAUUCAGUCGUUUUCUUGAUUUUUGAACUUCAUGAAAAUGUGUUAAGGUAAAAAGAGAAUUAAACAGGAGAAGUCAUUUUUUCUCCAAAAUGCCGUAUGUACUGGCUCCAUCAGCGCCGUAUCAAAUCCCUCUCCUAUCUCUGCAUCUCUCUCUCCAUUGUUGUGUAUAUAUAUGUGAACGUUCAUAUCAUGGAUUGGCACCUCAAAACUCAAAGUAAUCAACUUCAAAAUGACUUCUCUUUUCUUCUUAGUUUUCCUUUUCUCAUCUCUUCUCACUCCAAAUGUUGAUGCCAGUCCAAUUUACAUAGAAGCUCUCUCCAAGUCAUUGCUCUUCUUCCACGGUCAGCGGUCCGGUCCCCUCCCAACAGACCAACAAUUCUCGUGGAGGGCUAGCUCCGGCCUUUCAGAUGGCUCCUCCGCCAAUGUACAUCCCAAAAAACACUAAACCUCUUAUAUAGCUUUGUUAUUAUAUAAGAAUGAAUAAACUUUUAUAUGAUCUGCAGGUGGACUUAGUUGGUGGGUACUACACCGAAGGAGACAACGUCAAACACAAUUUCCCAAUGGCGUUUACCACCACAAUGCUUUCAUGGAGCACGCUUGAGUACGGUGAGCAGAUGGGUACUGAGCUCCAAAAUGCUCUUGUUAACAUCCGUUGGGCCACGGAUUAUCUGCUGAAAUGUGCUACAGCCACUCCCGACAAGCUUUACGUCGGGGUAGGAGAUCCUAAUGCUGAUCACAAAUGCUGGGAACGGCCUGAAGAUAUGGACACACCUCGUACAGUCUAUUCUGUAUCCCCUUCUAACCCCGGUUCUGACGUAGCAGCUGAAACUGCAGCAGCUCUGGCCGCAGCUUCUAUGGUUUUCAAGGAAGUUGAUUCUGCUUACUCGCUUUUGCUGCUGGCAACAGCUAAGAAUGUGAUGCAGUUUGCCAUUAAGUACAGAGGAAGUUAUAGUGAUUCCCUUUCUUCAUCUGUCUGUCCUUUCUACUGCUCCUACUCUGGUUACAAGGUCGGCUUUUCAUAUGUCCCAUCUCUUUAUUAUUGCAACUAAAAAAACUUUUACUGCUACAUAUAUAUAUAUCAAAAUGUAAAAAUUAUGAUGACACAGGACGAGCUAAUGUGGGGUGCGGCCUGGCUGCUGAAAGCAACCGAUGACUCGUAUUACAAAAACUUCAUACAAUCUUUAGGAGGUGGAGAUCAGCCUGACAUCUUCAACUGGGACAACAAAUAUGCUGGCGCUUAUGUUCUUCUUUCACAGGUAUGUCUCUCUGCUAAAAAGAAAGUUUUUUUUAAUUGAAGUUCCAAUCUCUCAUAAGUCCGAACUAAUCUUUUGUUAAUUCCUAAUAAUAUUCCGUACCAAAGGUGGUUUGAACCCGAUACACUUUUGUUGCUUAGCAUGUCACCAAUUCACAACAAUAAUAUUUCACUUUUUGGCAGCAAGCAUUAGUUAACAACGACAACACCUUUGAACAAUACAAGCUAGAAGCUGAGAGUUUCAUAUGCAAGAUCCUCCCAAACACUCCCUCUUCUUCUACCAGUUACACUCCAGGUAAGGAGAUCUAAAUCGUGAAUACGAAUCAUUCAAACUUUCUAAAACGUUAUUUACAACUACAACCAACAGGAGGCUUGAUGUACAACUACAAGUUACCUCAGAGCAACCUACAACACGUAACGGCCAUAACAUUCUUGCUCACAACCUACGCCAAGUACAUGAAAGCCACACAACACACGUUCAACUGCGGAAACUCUGUUAACAUUGUCCCCGAUACCUUGAUAAGCUUAUCGAAGCAACAAGUGGAUUAUAUACUCGGCGAGAAUCCGGCCAAGAUGUCGUAUAUGGUUGGAUACGGAACUAGUUUCCCCAUGAGAAUCCACCACAGAGGAUCAUCUAUUCCUUCACAACCACACUUCAGCUGCGCAGAUGGACUCCAAUUUUUAAAUACUUCAAACCCUAACCCUAACAUUCUCACGGGUGCAAUCGUAGGAGGUCCAAAUGAGAAGGAUGCGUAUGCAGAUAACAGAGAAGAUUUCAUUCAAUCGGAGCCUACUACUUACAUCAACGCCCCCUUCGUCGGACCUUUGGCGUACUUCGCCUCCGGUGGAUCGGCUUGAAACCGUCGGUCGAAGCCGAACGUGACAAUAUCCAAUUGAACAAGUAAUUUAAAUGUGUAACUUUUUAAUAGGCUAAGGUCCAAUAUUAUUGGACCUGGUAUAAUUAUGUUAAUCGUGUUUGUAAGAGACUUCAUUUUAAUAAACCAAUCUUCCGGUUGAGACUAGAAACCAUUUAUUUUUUUGAAUGUCGGUAUUCAGAGGAAAUCUCGAGUCCAAACGCAACCCCCAUGCUUCCAUUCCAUUCCCCAUGGUUCCCGCAGCUCCUAUGCAUCUCAUUCCCUAGCUUGCAGUUUGCUGAAUGAACUGCCGCCAGUUCAAAAUAACAAGUUUCCAACCAAGUUGAAGAUAACAAACUGGCUAAUAGCCAUUGAUCUGAUCAGGGUAAACAUUACAUACAUGUUGUAGCAGAAAGUGCUGCUGCAUGUUAGUAGUACCACGCAAGAACCCAACCAAAAGCUCUACUCAAACUUUCUGAAUUCAUGUUCCCAAACAAAAACACUUUAGCUUUAAACUAAAAAAUCGUUUGAACAUGUAUUACAAGGACCAAGGACAAAACCUUGUUCGAGAUCACGUUACGAUACUCAGAGAGCAUCCAUCAUUCAUCGUAUCUUAUCAAUAUUCAGCAAGUUUUCAAGUUUGAUAUUGUUUUUCAAUUAGAGUAAUGAUCCUUGCAAUUUCUCAAACCGGCUUAACCUCGCAGGGGAUAAGAUCAACCCAGAUUUCAGUCUCAUCAAACCUCUUUGGAUCCAAAUAUUUAGAGUAGUCAUAUACAAAGAAGGUUAAAAAUUGCGAACUUUUGGUGAACAGAGAGAUCAGUCAAGUGAGAAGAGGAAAACAAUGUGUGGGCCCUCUAUUUCACACACUAUUUUCCUCUAUCACUUUUGAGUUUUGACUGAAAGGUAAAAAUAAUGUAUAUAUAUAUAUAUAUAUAUAUUAUUCUCAUACUUAUAUUUCUUAUAAAAAAGUAUAUAUCCGUAUAUACCCCGUUUAGGCGUCCGUCUACACGGCUAGACGGGUAAUGAAUGCGCGUUUUAGAACACUACGUGUGGGAGAAGGAAGACUCUGAAUAGGUUGUAGUACAAGUGAAACACAUCUAGUAAGUUAUGAUAUAAGAUAAGCAAGACUUUCCACAAGGCUACCGCAAGUUAAGAUCACACCUAUAUUUUAUAGUUAUUCAACAUACAUCGUAACCUUACGGGCAGGGAUAGAUAGUAUCAUUGACGUGUGGGAGAAGGAAGACUCUAAAUAGGUUAUAGUACAAGUGAAACACAUCUAGUAAGUUAUGAUAUAAGAUAAGAAAGACAUUCCACAAGGCUACCGCAAGUUAAGAUAUGCGGAGAAAGUUCCUUUUUCAAACUAAGAUAUGCAAAAACAUUAAAUAGGCAAGUUUGGGAAAUUCAGUACAAAAACGAACAAGACUUUGGAAAACAUAUUCCUCACAAAUGCUUCUUAGAGAGAUUGCAAGAGAUGCGCUUAACGAGCACUUGUAGCGACUCUGAGUUUUCUUUGACCAAACUUCAAUUCCCACGGACUAGAUCUUGAUUGUGCGAAGCGGAGAUAUCUCUGAUCAUAAGUCCUCAUAACACGCCAGGUCCAUAGGCUAUUCCAGAUGCUAUCUAGUUAAACAUUUGUUAUCUACCUCGGACAAUUCCUCGCGUUGUUGUGAUGUAGGAUUCGGGACAUGACUUACUCCACAUAUAUUUUCAAGUCCGUAGAGUGUAGUGUCGUCCAAGAAUGAUGAAAAUUUCUACCUUUUAAACUAUGUGCCUCAUGGGUCAAGUGAGGAUUAGCUAAGUUACUUAUGUUUUGGAACAUUGCUGAUGAACACUAUUUAUCAAGUGAGGAUUAGCUAACUUGCUUGGGAUCAUGGUUUCAUGUUUUCAUAUCAUUGUAGUUUAUGUUUAUAUGUAAUUUAUGUUUAACUGAGAAAAAAGGUUUUACUGUGUUAUUUAAGAUAAUAUAACUCCUUGAUUAUGUUAUACAUAAUUAUUGCAUUCUAAUAAAGUUAUUAAGAUUUUAUUUAUAAUCAUUAGUAUUAUUGUUAUUAUGAAUAUACAAGAUGAUAUCAACUACAUAUAAUUAAUUAAUACAAUUAAAUAUAUUUGAAAUGUAAUUUAACAUAUUUAAAAUAUUACUGAGAUAUUCUUUGAUAAAGACAAAUAUAUAGAAAUUGUUUUUUUCCUUAAUUAACUGACAUUAAAAAUGUAAGUUACAAAAGUUGAUAUUAUAAUGUGUGAUAAUUUAAUAGAUAUCUCACCGAUAAAGUUAACAAAUCUGAACUAGUUGUUAAAUUUAACUUUUACUAAACUACUAUUAUUUUAUCAGUUCCCCAUUAGAGUACUAUCAUAAUACCAAAAUCAAUAACAAUAUAUAGCUUUAUAUGAUCAUAUGUUUAUAUGAUUCACUCUCCAAGAAGAGUUCGUAGGAACUCAAGUCGGGAUGUGACUUAGCAAGUAUUUGCGUCAACUUGUCGGUUAGCUUCUCCAAGUCUUCGUCAACUAAUUGGACCACAUAAACCCUAAACUCAAUUCAAUAUUCACGCUUCCUUCUUCCCUUAGUCUCAUGCAAACCUUUUAUCUUUACUGGAGAAUGUAAAUUUCAUAUUAUUGACAUGACAUUUAAUGAUGCGUCUGCCAGCUUAAAUCAUGGUAAAUAAUUAUAUAUUAUACACAUAACGGCAAUAACCAUUGCAUUAAUUCACGUAAUCUCAUAAGGGCAAUGACAUCGAUCGGGCAGAUUAAGGAUGGACAUACCCAUCCAGAACUGAUCUUCGGAUCAGGGUCCCAGACCCAAUUGGACCCGGUUUAAAUAUUCAAAGGGUUCUAAAUUGUUAUAUCCAAAAAUUGAUACCGUAUUCAACCCACACCAAAAACCGAAUGAACUGCAAACAUAUAAAUUAGUACAUAAAAAUAUUAGUUAUAAUCAUACGUAUAAUGAUACUACCUGAAAUCAUAAAUAUAUUAGUUAUUUAAAAUAUUUAUAGAUAAAAUUGGAUAGUUUAGAAACAAAUACCGAUAAUCAAAUUGUAUUCAUGGUAACUAAACAUCAAACUAAAUACAAAUUAAAGAUGUGAUGAUAAAUUUCUCAAGAAGUAAUGUUUUACAACAUAUUUUUUUAUUUCAUAGAUGAAGUAAAAUUCAGUCGUUUUCUUGAUUUUUGAACUUCAUGAAAAUGUGUUAAGGUAAAAAGAGAAUUAAACAGGAGAAGUCAUUUUUUCUCCAAAAUGCCGUAUGUACUGGCUCCAUCAGCGCCGUAUCAAAUCCCUCUCCUAUCUCUGCAUCUCUCUCUCCAUUGUUGUGUAUAUAUAUGUGAACGUUCAUAUCAUGGAUUGGCACCUCAAAACUCAAAGUAAUCAACUUCAAAAUGACUUCUCUUUUCUUCUUAGUUUUCCUUUUCUCAUCUCUUCUCACUCCAAAUGUUGAUGCCAGUCCAAUUUACAUAGAAGCUCUCUCCAAGUCAUUGCUCUUCUUCCACGGUCAGCGGUCCGGUCCCCUCCCAACAGACCAACAAUUCUCGUGGAGGGCUAGCUCCGGCCUUUCAGAUGGCUCCUCCGCCAAUGUACAUCCCAAAAAACACUAAACCUCUUAUAUAGCUUUGUUAUUAUAUAAGAAUGAAUAAACUUUUAUAUGAUCUGCAGGUGGACUUAGUUGGUGGGUACUACACCGAAGGAGACAACGUCAAACACAAUUUCCCAAUGGCGUUUACCACCACAAUGCUUUCAUGGAGCACGCUUGAGUACGGUGAGCAGAUGGGUACUGAGCUCCAAAAUGCUCUUGUUAACAUCCGUUGGGCCACGGAUUAUCUGCUGAAAUGUGCUACAGCCACUCCCGGGAAGCUUUACGUCGGGGUAGGAGAUCCUAAUGCUGAUCACAAAUGCUGGGAACGGCCUGAAGAUAUGGACACACCUCAUACAGUCUAUUCUGUAUCCCCUUCUAACCCCGGUUCUGACGUAGCAGCUGAAACUGCAGCAGCUCUGGCCGCAGCUUCUAUGGUUUUCAAGGAAGUUGAUUCUGCUUACUCGCUUUUGCUGCUGGCAACAGCUAAGAAUGUGAUGCAGUUUGCCAUUAAGUACAGAGGAAGUUAUAGUGAUUCCCUUUCUUCAUCUGUCUGUCCUUUCUACUGCUCCUACUCUGGUUACAAGGGCGGCUUUUCAUAUGUCCCAUCUCUUUAUUAUUGCAACUAAAAAAACUUUUACUGCUACAUAUAUAUAUAUCAAAAUGUAAAAAUUAUGAUGACACAGGACGAGCUAAUGUGGGGUGCGGCCUGGCUGCUGAAAGCAACCGAUGACUCGUAUUACAAAAACUUCAUACAAUCUUUAGGAGGUGGAGAUCAGCCUGACAUCUUCAACUGGGACAACAAAUAUGCUGGCGCUUAUGUUCUUCUUUCACAGGUAUGUCUCUCUGCUAAAAAGAAAGUUUUUUUUAAUUGAAGUUCCAAUCUCUCAUAAGUCCGAACUAAUCUUUUGUUAAUUCCUAAUAAUAUUCCGUACCAAAGGUGGUUUGAACCCGAUACACUUUUGUUGCUUAGCAUGUCACCAAUUCACAACAAUAAUAUUUCACUUUUUGGCAGCAAGCAUUAGUUAACAACGACAACACCUUUGAACAAUACAAGCUAGAAGCUGAGAGUUUCAUAUGCAAGAUCCUCCCAAACACUCCCUCUUCUUCUACCAGUUACACUCCAGGUAAGGAGAUCUAAAUCGUGAAUACGAAUCAUUCAAACUUUCUAAAACGUUAUUUACAACUACAACCAACAGGAGGCUUGAUGUACAACUACAAGUUACCUCAGAGCAACCUACAACACGUAACGGCCAUAACAUUCUUGCUCACAACCUACGCCAAGUACAUGAAAGCCACACAACACACGUUCAACUGCGGAAACUCUGUUAACAUUGUCCCCGAUACCUUGAUAAGCUUAUCGAAGCAACAAGUGGAUUAUAUACUCGGCGAGAAUCCGGCCAAGAUGUCGUAUAUGGUUGGAUACGGAACUAGUUUCCCCAUGAGAAUCCACCACAGAGGAUCAUCUAUUCCUUCACAACCACACUUCAGCUGCGC